rnacentral:rRNA from 1 species
CGCGUAGGCGGACUUUCAAGUCAGGGGUGAAAUCCCGAGGCUCAACCUCGGAACUGCCUUUGAUACUGUAAGUCUUGAGUCCGAGAGAGGUGAGUGGAAUUCCUAGUGUAGAGGUGAAAUUCGUAGAUAUUAGGAAGAACACCAGUGGCGAAGGCGGCUCACUGGCUCGGUACUGACGUUGAGGUGCGAAAGUGUGGGGAGCAAACA